GACGAACGCUGGCGGCGUGCUUAACACAUGCAAGUCGAACGGAGUGGCGAACGGGUGAGUAACACGUGGGUGAUCUGCCUUGCACUUCGGGUGAAGCUUGGGAAACUGGGUCGAAUACCGGCUAUUGCAAGAUGCGCUCGGGGCCUAUCAGUUUGGUGGUGGGGUAAUGGCCUACCAAGGCGUCGACGGGUAGCCGGCCUUGGAGGGUGUAAGGGCGCAUGUGGACUGGGAGACGGCCCAGAGUACAACGGGGGGCAGCAGUGGGGAAUAUGGCGCAAUGGGCGGAAGCCUGAUGCAGCGACCCCGCGUGGGGGAUGGAUGCCUUCGGGGUGUGAACUCCGUUGGGCAGGGACGCGGUACCUGUAUAAGAAGCACCGGCUAACUACGUGCCAGCAGCCGCGGUAAUUC
rnacentral:rRNA from 1 species